UACGGAGGGUGCAAGCGUUAAUCGGAAUUACUGGGCGUAAAGCGCACGUAGGCGGCUUUGCAAGUUAGAGGUGAAAGCCCGGGGCUCAACCCCGGAAUUGCCUUUAAGACUGCAUCGCUUGAAUCCGGGAGAGGUGAGUGGAAUUCCGAGUGUAGAGGUGAAAUUCGUAGAUAUUCGGAAGAACACCAGUGGCGAAGGCGGCUCACUGGACCGGCAUUGACGCUGAGGUGCGAAAGCGUGGGGAGCAAACAGG
rnacentral:rRNA from 1 species